AUAAUAUCCUUAACAAACUUAUCGACAUGAGAUAUGACAAAGCCGCGUGACUUCGGGCGCUGUUCCUCCCUUCAGAUUGUUCAAACAUCCGAGUGUGGAGCUUUAUACUUCAGCUCUUCUUCUCUGCGCAGUAUCUAGUUUCUCUCACCAAGUUCUCAUUCAUUGCAAAAAUCUAGAUUGAAAAGCAAAUUUGUUGUAUAAUACGUCAUUAUUUCAGUAGAGAAGAGAGUUUAUAUACAUGGGUUCUUGUGUUAUUCUUCAUAACUUUCUCCCAACUACCCAUCAUUGGCAGUGUUGCAGAAAACAAACCCUAUCUCUCACCCCUUCUCCAUUUAUUUUGCUUAAAUCUCUUUCAAGCUUGAAGAAACAAAUCUCACUCCCAAAUAACCGAUUCAAGAAGCUCAACUCUUCGAAAUCUCGUCCUGCUCCGGUUGUUUCGGCUGUACAAUCCAAUUUCUUCAGAGUUCUUCAAACAGUGUGGAAGGUUGGAAGGGAUGGAAUAGAGGCAGGAACUAAUCUGGUGCCUGAUGCAGUUCCAAGACCACUAGCAAGGGUUUCUGUAACCAUAGUUGCGUUAACCGUUUCCCUCUUUUUACUCAAGUCAUUCCUGUCCACAGCUUUCUUUGUGCUGGCCACCAUGGGACUAGUGUACUUUAUGUUCAUAGCCUUGAAUAAAGAUAAAGGUCCAAGAAGUGGCGGAGGUACUACUACCACAGAGGACAGUCUUGAAGAAGCAAGAAGGAUAAUGGAAAAAUACAAGUGAAAAGAGAAGUUAGCAAGUUUGUUUUUGAUCAGUCAGAAUCUCUAUUUUAUCUGUCAGUUUAUCCUGUACAUGAGCUGACCAAAAGAAUCACAGGACGACAGGUGUCUGCAUAUAUUUUUUUGCACGGGUCCUUCAAGGGAUCGAGUUUAGCGUACCACCGGGCUGGUUGUUGAUCGUUGUCUGUUUUGUCAGAUCCGGUGAGCCAUAGACAAUAGCUAUGUCCCUUUUGGGGAUUGUAAUAGUAGAGUAUGGAUGUAGUAUGCAUGUAUGUAUGUAUGUAUGUUGGGAAACAUUUAGAAACUCUAGUAAGUUUAAGAGGGUGUAUGUUUUUCCACUGUGCAUGUUUAUACAGAUCAGUAUGAAACACUCGUUUCCCCUUAUUUGGGCAGGUUGUAUAUGUAUGGUAUCAAAGAAAUGUAUGUUAUGUAUGUUUAGUAGCACUCCGAGCCCACCUAGAGGGUCAGGGCGUUACAAUAAUAAUAACAUAAACUCCUUUUUU